rnacentral:rRNA from 1 species
GUAUCGGAACGUGCCCAGUCGUGGGGGAUAACUGCUCGAAAGAGCAGCUAAUACCGCAUACGACCUGAGGGUGAAAGCGGGGGAUCGCAAGACCUCGCGCGAUUGGAGCGGCCGAUAUCAGAUUAGGUAGUUGGUGAGGUAAAGGCUCACCAAGCCGACGAUCUGUAGCUGGUCUGAGAGGACGACCAGCCACACUGGGACUGAGACACGGCCCAG